UACGUAGGGGGCAAGCGUUGUCCGGAUUUAUUGGGCGUAAAGAGCGUGUAGGCGGCCAUGCAGGUCCGUUGUGAAAACUCGAGGCUCAACCUCGAGACGCCGGUGGAAACCGUAUGGCUAGAGUCCGGAAGAGGAGAGUGGAAUUCCUGGUGUAGCGGUGAAAUGUGUAGAGAUCGGGAGGAACACCGGUGGCGAAGGCGGGUCUCUGGGCAUCUCCUGACGCUGAGGCGCGAAAGCGUGGGGAGCAAACGGG
rnacentral:rRNA from 1 species